CAUAGCAACUUUCGAUGCAAUUUACUGCGCAUACCAUGGUGACCACGGGUAACAGGGAAUCAGUGUUCGAUUCCG